rnacentral:rRNA from 1 species
GACGAACGCUGGCGGCGUCCUAAUACAUGCAAGUAGAACGCUGAAGGAGGAGCUUGCUUCUCUGGAUGAGUUGCGAACGGGUGAGUAACGCGUAGGUAACCUGCCUGGUAGCGGGGGAUAACUAUUGGAAACGAUAGCUAAUACCGCAUAACAGUAGAUGUUGCAUGACAUUUGCUUAAAAGGUGCAAUUGCACCACUACCAGAUGGACCUGCGUUGUAUUAGCUAGUUGGUGGGGUAACGGCUCACCAAGGCGACGAUACAUAGCCGACCUGAGAGGGUGAUCGGCCACACUGGGACUGAGACACGGCCCAGACUCCUACGGGAGGCAGCACUAGGGAAUCUUCGGCAAUGGACGGAAGUCUGACCGAGCAACGCCGCGUGAGUGAAGAAGGUUUUCGGAUCGUAAAGCUCUGUUGUAAGAGAAGAACGAGUGUGAGAGUGGAAAGUUCACACU